rnacentral:miRNA from 1 species
UUUCCUCUCAUCACAAGUUGA